UUAAUAUGUAUAUUAAAUCCUUAUUACAGUUUUACAUUUUCAUUAUAACUGACAGAAUUUUUAAAAUUGAAAGAAAUUUCUUUCGGUUAAUAAUAAUAAUACUAGAUUUUCACCCGCGAUAUACCGUAGGGACAAUUUAUAUUUUAAAAUUAGUAUAUAUAAAAGUUUGUAAUUUGUAACAAUCUAUGUAACUAUCUAUAAAAUAUUUUUAUUUUAUAGUUUAGAAUUGUUAUUAAGUAACGUCCUGCCAAACUCGUCCUGCCAAACUCGUCCUGCCAAACUCGUCCUGCCAAACUCGUCCCGCCAACCCAUCCCGUAAAAAAAGCUCAUUUAUUUUAUUAAUGUUGAUCUUCUUUAUCAUAUGUUUAUGAAUCAUUGUCUAAAUAUUUUGUAAUUUUGUAGUAAUUAAAUGUUAUCAAAUAUCUCUGCGGUUUGAUGAUUAUAAUUGAAUUGUAAUAGUCAUGAAGAAAAACAAUAUCAAUAAUGAUAAUUUUGUAGUAAUUAAAUGAUAUUAAAUAUUUUGAAAGUUUUAUUUUAGUAACCAAUCGUGUAGUUAAUGUAAAGAGAUUUUAAAAAA
rnacentral:sRNA from 1 species